AACGAACGCUGGCGGCAUGCCUAACACAUGCAAGUCGAACGAGGUCUUCGGGUCUAGUGGCGCACGGGUGCGUAACGCGUGGGAAUCUGCCCUUUGGUUCGGAAUAACAGUUGGAAACGACUGCUAAUACCGGAUGAUGACGAAAGUCCAAAGAUUUAUCGCCAGAGGAUGAGCCCGCGUAGGAUUAGCUAGUUGGUGUGGUAAAGGCGCACCAAGGCGACGGUCCUUAGCUGGUCUGAGAGGAUGAUCAGCCACACUGGGACUGAGACACGGCCCAGACUCCUACGGGAGGCAGCAGUGGGGAAUAUUGGACAAUGGGCGAAAGCCUGAUCCAGCAAUGCCGCGUGAGUGAUGAAGGCCUUAGGGUUGUAAAGCUCUUUUACCCGGGAUGAUAAUGACAGUACCGGGAGAAUAAGCUCCGGCUAACUCCGUGCCAGCCGCCGCAGUAA
rnacentral:rRNA from 1 species